rnacentral:rRNA from 1 species
UACGUAGGCAGCAAGCGUUGUUCGGGGUUACUGGGCGUAAAGAGUGUGUAGGUGGUGCUCUAAGUUCGGUGUGAAAUCUCCCGCUUAACUGGGAGGGUGCGCCGAAAACUGGAGUGCUCGAGCGUGGGAGAGGAAAGCGGAAUUCCUGGUGUAGCGGUGAAAUGCGUAGAUAUCAGGAGGAACACCAGCGGUGUAGACGGCUUUCUGGACCAUUGCUGACGCU